UUGGUGGUGGUGGUCCAUGGUUGUCCAUGCUAGUAUUUAUUGUCUUGUUUCUGCAGGGGUGGUUACAGUGGUCAAACCAGUGAAUCCUCCUCCCCCGCCGCCCAGAAGGACUCCCAUUGUGGAUCCCCCACUUGAGAAACCAACUCAGUCUUCUGCCAGAUACUUCCAGAUUCCCACAAUACCAUCUGACUCUCUAGAAACACAUGAAGAGUCACUAUACGACAACUCAUUCGAGAGUUAUGAAGAUGUUGAGGAACCUGAGGCUCCAGCACUUUCAUCCUUUAGGCCUCCAUCAGUACCAUCAUCAGCUUCAAGUACCAAAAGGCCGGUUUCAGUUCAUGAGGAAGCCUUCCUGAAACAGUUGAGGCCAAAACAACAGUUGAAAGAUGAUGUGUUUCCGAACAUGGAUAGAGAUGUGGAUUAUGGGUCUAUGAACUCUGGCUCUCCAUAUCCAGAAACUCAAACUGUAGUACAUCAGGACUCAGUGCGAAGCUCACCUGCCUUGACUCCAUCAGGGACCCUUGAAAGAGGUGACAAUGUCUUUGAAGAUCAAUCAGACAGUAAAAAAGGCAAAACAGCAAAGACUAAGAAACAGAAAGGGCCUCCAAAGAAUCCAUAUGCUGAUACACCGGCAGUGGUGGAGGAGGCUCCCAAGAAAAGCUUGUUCGCCAGGUUUGUAGCAGCAAUUUAUUUUUAAUUAGCAAAUUCACAAUAUUAAACUGUGUCUACAUUCCCGAAACAUCUUAUCUGAAUGUAAUGAUGAAAGUCUUCGAUCCCCAGGAAGAACUCAAGAAAAGUGGCAGAUGACAAAGAAUUAAAGAAAAAAGAGAAACAGCGAGAAAAGGAAAAAGAGAAAGAGAAGGAACGAGAAAAAAAGGAGCAGAAAGAAAAAGAAAAGAAAGAAAAUGAAAUGAGGAAAAAAUUUAAGGUAAUUUUUUUUUACAUGUAAGUAUUUGUGCUAGCACCAAUAAUUCUGCACGAUUAUUGCUUAUUAAACUCUCAAAAUCCAGUACUUAUUACAAUCCACAUCCCACUCCUCAAGCAAAUCAAUAGGUGCACUUGCCAUCACUAAAACCCAAC
rnacentral:lncRNA from 1 species